rnacentral:rRNA from 1 species
CCUACGGGAGGCAGCAGUAGGGAAUCUUUCACAAUGGGCGAAAGCCUGAUGGAGCAACGCCGCGUGCAGGAUGAAGGCCUUCGGGUUGUAAACUGCUUUUAUAAGCGAGAAAUAUGAUGGUAACUUAUGAAUAAGGAUCGGCUAACUACGUGCCAGCAGCCGCGGUCAUACGUAGGAUCCGAGCAUUAUCCGGAGUGACUGGGUGUAAAGAGUUGCGUAGGUGGCAUAAUAAGUAGCUAGUGAAAUCUGGUGGCUCAACCAUUCAGACUAUUAGCUAUACUGUUAAGCUCGAGACCGUUAGGGGUAACUGGAAUUUCUAGUGUAGGAGUGAAAUCCGUAGAUAUUAGAAGGAACACCAAUAGCGUAGGCAGGUUGCUGGGACGGUUCUGACACUAAGGCACGAAAGCGUAGGGAGCAAACGGGAUUAGAUACCCCAGUAGUC